rnacentral:lncRNA from 1 species
GCAUUUCAAGCUCCUCGACAUCAAGCUGCUUGGUGACGGCACUGUAAGUGCUACCACGGGUUCCAUGGCUGUCCCUUCCAAGAACAUUGUAGGCAUUGUGUUGAUCCUCGAAGCCCACCGGGGGGGUCACAGCCUCAAAGGAUAUUUCUGUAGUGGUCCUGAAAAUGGGUAGAAAAUUUACAUUCAGAGGGAUGAAAAGAGGGAUGAAAGAGAGUUAAAAAGAGGUAAAAAAAAAAGGUGGAUGCCUGUCAUCUAUAUCCUGCUGGUCGUGGUCAUUUAUGGAGGAUGCGGAAGAGCUCUCUUCCAUCUGCUGCUCGGCUAACUUUUCCG